rnacentral:rRNA from 1 species
AGAUUGAACGCUGGCGGCAUGCUUUACACAUGCAAGUCGAACGGCAGCACGGGGGCAACCCUGGUGGCGAGUGGCGAACGGGUGAGUAAUGCAUCGGAACGUACCUUUAAGUGGGGGAUAACGCAUCGAAAGAUGCGCUAAUACCGCAUAAUCUCUGAGGAGAAAAGCAGGGGAUCGCAAGACCUUGCGCUUUUGGAGCGGCCGAUGUCUGAUUAGCUAGUUGGUGGGGUAAAGGCUUACCAAGGCUUCGAUCAGUAGCUGGUCUGAGAGGACGACCAGCCACACUGGGACUGAGACACGGCCCAGACUCCGUACGGGAGGCAGCAGUGGGAAUUUUGGACAAGUGGGGGAAACCCUGAUCCAGCCAUGCCGCGUGAGUGAAGAAGGCCUUGGUUGUAAAGCUCUUCAGCCGGAACGAAACGGUUACGUAAUAACCGUGAC